UACGGAGGGUGCAAGCGUUAUCCGGAUUCACUGGGUUUAAAGGGAGCGUAGGAGGGCAGGUAAGUCAGUGGUGAAAUCUUCGAGCUUAACUCGGAAACUGCCGUUGAUACUAUCUGUCUUGAAUACCGUGGAGAUGAGCGGAAUAUGUCAUGUAGCGGAUGAAAUGCUUAGAUAUGACAUAGAACACCAAUUGCGAAGGCAGCUCGUUACACGAAUAUUGACUCUGAGGCUCGAAAAGCGUGGGGAUCAAACAGG
rnacentral:rRNA from 1 species